rnacentral:hammerhead_ribozyme from 1 species
AUCCAGCUGACGAGUCUCAAAUAGGACGAAGUGACAUGUAU